rnacentral:rRNA from 1 species
UACGUAGGGACCAAGCGUUGUUCGGAUUUACUGGGCGUAAAGGGCGCGUAGGCGGCAAUUCAAGUCAUCUGUGAAAUCUCCGGGCUUAACUCGGAACGGUCAGAUGAUACUGCUUUGCUAGAGUGCGGAAGGGGCAAUCGGAAUUCUUGGUGUAGCGGUGAAAUGCGUAGAUAUCAAGAGGAACACCUGAGGUGAAGACGGGUUGCUGGGCCGACACGUGACGCUGAUAGCGCGAAAGCCAGGGGAGCAAACGGG